rnacentral:rRNA from 1 species
GCAUAUCGAUAUGUGGGGCUAACAAAUACUAAUGAAACGUGAGGCUUAAACUGCCAACACCGAAG